CCUACGGGUGGCAGCAGUGGGGAAUAUUGCACAAUGGGGGAAACCCUGAUGCAGCGACGCCGCGUGAAGGAAGAAGGAUUUCGGUAUGUAAACUUCUUUCAGCAGGGAGGAAAAUGACGGUACCUGACUAAGAAGCUCCGGCUAACUACGUGCCAGCAGCCGCGGGACUACGGAGGGGGCAAGCGUUAUCCGGAUUUACUGGGUGUAAAGGGAGCGUAGGCGGUUUAGCAAGUCAGAAGUGAAAGCCCGGGGCUCAACUCGGGGACUGCUUUUGAAACUGGUGAACUAGAGUGCAGGAGAGGUAGGUGGAAUUCCUAGUGUAGCGGUGAAAUGCGUAGAUAUUAGGAGGAACACCAGUGGCGAAGGCGGCUUACUGGACUGUAAAUGACGCUGAGGCUCGAAAGCGUGGGGAGCAAACAGGAUUAGAUACCCCUGUAGUC
rnacentral:rRNA from 1 species